rnacentral:rRNA from 1 species
UACAGAGGGUGCAAGCGUUGUUCGGAAUUAUUGGGCGUAAAGCGCGUGUAGGCGGCUUUGCAAGUCGGGUGUGAAAGCCCUCAGCUCAACUGAGGAAGUGCGCCCGAAACUGCUUUGCUUGAGUGCCGGAGAGGAUGGCGGAAUUCCCCAAGUAGAGGUGAAAUUCGUAGAUAUGGGGAGGAACACCGGUGGCGAAGGCGGCCAUCUGGACGGUAACUGACGCUGAGACGCGAAAGCGUGGGUAGCAAACAGG